rnacentral:rRNA from 1 species
GUGAAGAUGCAGUGUACCCGCGGCAAGACGGAAAGACCCCGUGAACCUUUACUAUAGCUUGACACUGAACAUUGAGCCUUGAUGUGUAGGAUAGGUGGGAGGCUUUGAAGUGUGGACGCCAGUCUGCAUGGAGCCGACCUUGAAAUACCACCCUUUAAUGUUUGAUGUUCUAACGUGGACCCGUAAUCCGGGUUGCGGACAGUGUCUGGUGGGUAGUUUGACUGGGGCGGUCUCCUCCUAAAGAGUAACGGAGGAGCACGAAGGUUGGCUAAUCCUGGUCGGACAUCAGGAGGUUAGUGCAAUGGCAUAAGCCAGCUUGACUGCGAGCGUGACGGCGCGAGCAGGUGCGAAAGCAGGUCAUAGUGAUCCGGUGGUUCUGAAUGGAAGGGCCAUCGCUCAACGGAUAAAAGGUACUCCGGGGAUAACAGGCUGAUACCGCCCAAGAGUUCAUAUCGACGGCGGUGUUUGGCACCUCGAUGUCGGCUCAUCACAUCCUGGGGCUGAAGUAGGUCCCAAGGGUAUGGCUGUUCGCCAUUUAAAGUGGUACGCGAGCUGGGUUUAGAACGUCGUGAGACAGUUCGGUCCCUAUCUGCCGUGGGCGCUGGAGAACUGAGGGGGGCUGCUCCUAGUACGAGAGGACCGGAGUGGACGCAUCACUGGUGUUCGGGUUGUCAUGCCAAUGGCACUGCCCGGUAGCUAAAUGCGGAAGAGAUAAGUGCUGAAAGCAUCUAAGCACGAAACUUGCCCCGAGAUGAGUUCUC